CAGUAGCCGCGGUAAUACGAAGGGUGCAAGCGUUAAUCGGAAUUACUGGGCGUAAAGCGUGCGUAGGCGGUGAGUUAAGUCUGCUGUGAAAUCCCCGGGCUCAACCUGGGAAUGGCAGUGGAUACUGGCUCGCUAGAGUGUGUCAGAGGAUGGUGGAAUUCCCGGUGUAGCGGUGAAAUGCGUAGAGAUCGGGAGGAACAUCAGUGGCGAAGGCAGCCCCCUGGGCCAAUACUGACGCUCAUGCACGAAAGCGUGGGGAGCAAGCAGGAUUAGAUACCCCGGUAGUCCCUGUCUCUUAUAC
rnacentral:rRNA from 1 species